rnacentral:misc_RNA from 1 species
UACAAACUAUAGCUUAAUUGAGAAUGCACUGGAAAGCUUUUGGUACUGAUGGUUAUUGUUGGCAACAAUAGGAUCCUAAUGUCCUUUCCACAAAUUGUAGCUUAGAUAAGAAAGUGCUGAAAAGGUUUAGGACUGCUGAUUAUUCAUGGAAACUAGGCCUUAUAAGAGGGGCGCCGUAUUAUGACUAAUUUGAGCUAUAUGGUUAUUUGGGUAAGGGUUUGCUUGAUGAACUAUAAAAUUUAAAGUUCCAUUGAAGAAAAUAACUAAAGCCUUUUUGUUGCAGUGUUCCUCUGUAUACUAAAAAGUUUUCUCACAAAUGAUUGCUUAGUUGCAUUUAUUUAUUUAUUUUUUCAACUUGUGUAAUAAGUGACUGGGAAAAGACAAAUUGUAACUGUAGAUUUCUUGUCAUGCCUUGUUCUACGCAACACUUGAUUAGCUAAGGGCCUAGUCGGG